UGGCGGAGUCGACCUUGGAGCCGCGGAGUUCGACCCCGCCAUGUCUGGACGGGUUCUGCAGGCCACAUUGGUUCUUCAGUUUCAGCUAGAGUGACCAGGCGUCUAGUUUUCAACCGGAACACCUGAUCAAAAAGGGACCCCGGUGGUUCUGGUCAGCAUCGCCAACCAGGCCGUUAAAAGUCCAGUCGGCGGCACUAAGGCAGAAAAAUGAGAAACAUGCACGUGUACAAAUUAAGAUGUGGCCUUCAGGAACACCCCACAAACACCAGCCGAGCAUCCCCAUCAGAUAAUAAAGCAUCCAAGAUGGAGCAAAGAAGACACAUUCUGGGAGAUACUGCACUUUUCCAAUACAGAGAAAAGAGAAUGCAAGGAGAGGAAGGAAGCCAAAAGGCAGUACAGAAAAGAAAAUCAGGAAUAAGACGCUACUGAGUGGAUGAUUAAAGUCAUGGUGGAGCAAACACAGAUGCUGGAGUUCUUAAUAAUGCUGCAGACUGAGCAGAUGCGUGCCCACCCUCCCCUACAGCACAUUCAGAACUCUUCUCCAUGUCCCCCCAAACUCUGCCCACACAGUCCUUUCCGCUUUCCGGGACGUCUCGGUUUCCCCUUCACUCUAGCUCCUCGGACAACUUUCAAAAUGAUAGCUAGACCUACACACAGCUCUGAAAGUCUGCCCUUCCCUGGUCCCUCCUCUCCU